rnacentral:rRNA from 1 species
GACGAACGCUGGCGGCGUGCUUAACACAUGCAAGUCGAACGAUGAAGCGGUGCUUGCACCGUGGAUUAGUGGCGAACGGGUGAGUAAUACGUGAGUGACCUACCUUCGACUCUGGGAUAAGCCUGGGAAACUGGGUCUAAUACCGGAUACGACCAAUCUCUGCAUGGGGUGUUGGUGGAAAGCGUUAUGGAGUGGUUUUAGAUGGGCUCACGGCCUAUCAGCUUGUUGGUGAGGUAAUGGCUUACCAAGGCGACGACGGGUAGCCGGCCUGAGAGGGUGACCGGCCACACUGGGACUGAGACACGGCCCAGACUCCUACGGGAGGCAGCAGUGGGGAAUAUUGCACAAUGGGCGCAAGCCUGAUGCAGCGACGCCGCGUGAGGGAUGACGGCCUUCGGGUUGUAAACCUCUGUUAGCAUCGAAGAAGCGAAAGUGACGGUAGGUGCAGAGAAAGCGCCGGCUAACUACGUG